rnacentral:rRNA from 1 species
UACGGGGGGGGGCAAGCGUUGUUCGGAAUUACUGGGCGUAAAGGGCUCGUAGGCGGCCAACUAAGUCAGACGUGAAAUCCCUCGGCUUAACCAGGGAACUGCGUCUGAUACUGGUUGGCUUGAAUCCGGGAGAGGGAUGUGGAAUUCCAGGUGUAGCGGUGAAAUGCGUAGAUAUCUGGAGGAACACCGGUGGCGAAGGCGGCAUCCUGGACCGGUAUUGACGCUGAGGAGCGAAAGCCAGGGGAGCAAACGGG